rnacentral:rRNA from 1 species
GAUGAACGCUGGCGGCGUGCCUAAUACAUGCAAGUCGAGCGAACGGACGAGAAGCUUGCUUCUCUGAUGUUAGCGGCGGACGGGUGAGUAACACGUGGAUAACCUACCUAUAAGACUGGGAUAACUUCGGGAAACCGGAGCUAAUACCGGAUAAUAUUUUGAACCGCAUGGUUCAAAAGUGAAAGACGGUCUUGCUGUCACUUAUAGAUGGAUCCGCGCUGCAUUAGCUAGUUGGUAAGGUAACGGCUUACCAAGGCAACGAUGCAUAGCCGACCUGAGAGGGGAUAGGGCCAAACGGAAAAGGAAAACGGGCCCGACAUCCUAGGGAGGGAAGAGGUGGGAAAAUUUCACAAAGGGGGGAAGACCGGACGAGGCAACGCGGGGUGGGGAAGGAGGGUCUUCGGAUGGUAAAACCUUUUUAUGGGGAAAAAAAGAAGGGGGAAAAAACUGGGCACAUCUGAAGGGAACCAAAUAAGAAAGCCAGGGCUAAUUAGGG